rnacentral:rRNA from 1 species
GAUGAACGCUGGCGGCGUGCCUAAUACAUGCAAGUCGAGCGAACGCACGAGAAGCUGUCGCCUAUGAUGUUAGCGGCGGUCGGGUGAGUAACAUGUGGUUAGCCUACCUAUCAGACUGGGAUAACAACAGGAAACCAUGGCUACGACCGGAUGAUAUUUUGCAUCUCAUGGGGCAAAAGUGAAAUACGGUCUUUUGGUCACUAAUAGACGGACCCGCCCUGCAUUCGCUAGUUGGUAGGGUAAAGGGUUACCAAGGCGACGAUGCAUAGCCGGCCCGAGAGGAUGAUCAGCCACACUGGGACUGAGACACGGCACAGACUCCUACGGGAGGCAGCAGUGGGGAAUAUUGGAAAAUGGGCGAAGGCCUGAUCCAGCAAUGCCGCGUGAGUGAUGAAGGCCUUAGGGUUGUAAAGCUCUUUUACCCGGGAUGAUAAUGACAGUACCGGGAGAAUAAGCUCCGGCUAACUCCGUG